GACUGCUAUUCGGGUAAGACUAAGCCAUGCAAGUCGAAUGGAACAGCUUGUUCCAUGGCGAACUGCUCAGUAACAAGUAAUCAACUUACCCUUCAGUGGAGAAUAACCUCGGGAAACUGAGGCUAAUACUUCAUAGUUGGAAAUUCCUGGAAAGGUUUUCCAUCGAAAGAUAUUUCUAAAUGCGGAAAAUUCGCUGAAGGAUAGGAUCGCUUUCGAUUACGGUUGUUGGUGAGGUAAUGGCUCACCAAGCUAAUGAUCGAUAAGGGCCGUGAGAGCGGUAGCCCUGAGAUGGAUACUGAGACAAUGAUCCAGGCCUUACGAGGCGCAGCAGGCGCGAAACCUUUACAAUGCACGAAAGUGUGAUAAGGUUACCCGGAGUGCUAAAAUUAAAUUUUAGCUGUUAUAGGUGUGUAAAUAACUCUAUGAGAAAGGAGAGGGCAAGGCUGGUGCCAGCCGCCGCGGUAAAACCAGCUCUUCAAGUGGUCGGGAAUAUUAUUGGGCUUAAAGUGUCCGUAGCCGGUUUGGUAAGUUCCUGGUUAAAUCUGGCAGCUUAACUGUCAGUCAGCUAGGAAUACUACUUUACUAGAGGGUGGGAAAGGUUUGAGGUACUCCAGGGGUAGCGGUGAAAUGCGAUAAUCCUUGGGGGGCCACCAGUGGCGAAGGCGUCAGACUGGAACACGCCUGACGGUGAGGGACGAAAGCCAGGGGAGCGAACGGGAUUAGAUACCCCGGUAGUCCUGGCCGUAAACGAUGCGUGCUAGGUGUUGGUAGGGCUUUGAGCUGUAUCAGUGCCGUAGGGAAACUGUUAAGCGCGCCGCCUGCGAAGUACGCUCGCAAGGGUGAAACUUAAAGGAAUUGGCGGGGAAGCACCACAAGGGGUGAAGCCUGCGGUUCAAUUGGAUUCAACGCCGGA
rnacentral:rRNA from 1 species